rnacentral:lncRNA from 1 species
GCUAAAUGUAUAAAAAAAUUGUUGCUAUAUUAAAACUUGUUCAAUGCUUUGGUAACAAAUUAUAUUGUUGCCAAAUCAAAAUUUAACAUUAUUUUUGUGUAUCUGGUCGGCUCAAUGUCCCCAUAGCGAAUAAUGGCAAAAAUACACAAUUAAAAUAUUAUUAACUUAAUAAAAUCAUCUACUACAUAAUCAUUCAUUAUCUUUACAAUUAACCAUCUAAAGCUAUCACAAUUCUUCAAUCAAAGUAUAUACCUACAUAUAUAGAGAGUAAACUUCAUAAUUACGUCCCUUGUCUUCUGUAAACGUAGCACGAAAAUUUGAUACCCAAUAUUGUAAGGUAGGUCGCAGAAGUAAUCUUCCUGCACAUAUUUAAAAAUAAUAGCAAGUCAGAAAAAUGAAGCAAAUAGGUCACCAGAGACACUUAGUGCCAAAAUCAAUACAUGAAGACAACAAUGUUGUUUUAUUUUCUUACUAAUCAAGGGACAUAGAAAAAGGUAAUACCCUUUUUAUUCACUACCAAAUUGUUCUGUUCUUGCAUUAUAUGUUAGCAUGCAGCCCAUAAACAGUAAGCAUGAACCAUUGACCUCACUAGCUUCACCAGCUAUUGUGAUGAAUGGGUACUAGAAUACUUUUUGCCACUCAUCAGGCAUUUUCUGAGUUAUUAGAAACCUAUCUUCGCAAGGAACAGUUACAAGCAGAAAAAAGCACAAAACCUUCUCUAAAUUCGUUUCCCCAAAAAAACCUUCUCAGGUCUCAAAAAGUAGUCAAAUUGUUCCCAAACCUGAAGUCCACUAGCUACAAGCUGCAAAAAAUUGCAUGAUGAAAGUAGAAAGAUUAGAUAGAUGUCAGUUUUAAAUAUAAAAUUCAAAUUACAUAAAAGCUCGGGUUUUAAUUCUAUCACCAACCAUGAUUUAACCACCAUAAAACUAAAUAGUACAUCAAAAGGCUAGUGUAAACAUGUGUUUUAGGGUGACAUGCACAUUGUUGUAAACGAGGUUAAAGUGUUAAACAGUGAAACAAGAAGAUAACCGAGUAAAUUUAAUAGAUAGAAAACGGAAAGUUUGAGACAUCAAAAGUUCCAGCAUUACAUUAUUCAAUCAACAAAUGUGCAGGAACUGAUAUGAAUGGAUGCAACAGACAUUGGGACAACUCCUCUUUAAAAUUCUUGAACGUCGCCAUUUAACAGUUCCUAUAUUCUGCCAUAUGUUUAAGAAAAAGGGAUACAAAGACGAUUUUUGUUAUACAAUAUAAUAAUUAUGCCAUCACAUUUGACUAUAGAUUGGGAAACCAACAGAUCUUAUGAGUUGUAACACUUUGAAAAGCCAGAUUACUCUAGAAGCUUAUAGUCUGUGAAGCAAUGUUACUUAUUAACUUAUCUUAUGAGUUGUUACUCUAGUUGGGUUAUAAUGCGAUACAGUGUGGUAGGCUUCCAUGAAUUGCUUGGACAGAACACAAAACAAUUAUUGGACAGUAGAAAACUAUCUAAAUAGGUACGCAUAUAAUAUGUAAUAUUCAGAUGUGUGUGUGUGCAAGUUCAGCACAUAUGAAGCAUGCUAUUAGUCAUAAAAAUAUUAAAAAUAUCACAAUAAAUGCCUUAGGUAGUAGUAGUUCACACCCCUAAGCAACCAAGUGUUUUCACCCUACCUGGUAGAAAGAAAUUGCUAUACAGCCAUGUUUAAAAGGCUUAGCGCUACUAAAAGGCUUUUUUUAGGUCGUGCAGGUGGAGACAUUUCUUUGUCCCCUUCAAAAGGAAAUGCAAUCUGAAAAUAAAAGACGAGACUAUGAAACAGUAAGUUCGAUUCUAAUCAUUCUUUUCCUUACUAACUCAACAUUUAACAUUCUUAUUUGGUAAUUUUCUUGCUUAAGAGCCUAAUUACAUAAACCUGUUGCCCGCCCAAUUUCUCAUUGACUAUUGUAACCCAAUUCAUUUUAUUUAAAAAUUUUAGCAACUAAAAUCAACUAUCAAGCAUCCAUAAGUACCAAAAUAAAGCUAAUUUCAAUCCCCUUUCUUUUCUUAACAAAACCUAUAGAUGCUCUUCCAUCUUGUUGAACCAGUAAACAGUAACCUCCACACACCAAAUACCAAAUGUAGCCUACACUAUCUUAAGUUUUCUGAAGCUGCCAACCACAAGAAUACCCAUGGACAACAUGCAAAGUGUUAAAUGUUACAUAACAUUAGAUUAAGUGGACUAUGAUACAGAACAAAAUACGUUCAAAAUUUCUAGCCAGUAGAAUCGUUGACUAAAGAAUUUUUAGGCUACAUCAGAGCCUUUUUGAUAUUAUUAAAUAUGAUUAAGACCAGUAGAUCAUCAUAAAGACGUCCAAGAAAAGCCUUGGAUGCAACAUCAGAAAAUUGAUGCUACCAGUGUGCAUAUAUUGUUUCCAAAACUUAAAUGUUGCACUUCAUUAUCUCAACAUGCCUACACAAUAGAUAACUUUUCUCUCUAGUUUAUAUUUUAUGCGUUAACUUUUAAGUUUAAACCAUAAGGCUCACUUUAUACUCCAAAACUCAAUUUUCCAUCUUAUUUAGGCCCACCACAGUUACCUCCUGCUCUUGCUAAUUCAUGAAGAAUGCGAAGGAAAAAUGCUUUUGGCCCAUGUCUCGCGUUCUUCAUUCCACCCAAUAACCAUAAAAUAAACCACAGCUAAAAGCUAAGCAAAAUCUCGGUUCAGUGGUUUAUUUGAAAAAUUAUAUGGUAUAUUACACUCGACCUUUUUUAAAAUUCCAAAUUGAUUUGUGAUAGAACAAAGGUUGUAAGCAAAGGAAAAAAUAAUGGCUCAAUACAUUGUACUGGUUACAGAAUCAAUUUUAAUGCAAUUGAAAAACUUACCGCUGUAUUUUUCUUAGUUCGAUCUAGAGGACUCCCCAACCUCUUUCAAUUGUCUUUGGCUCUUGUCAACUACUGUAUUCUCCAGAUCAACUUUCUCAGUCUAUACAACACAAAAGAAAUUAACAGCUAUUCAGUGAUCAGCACAACUUAGAAACAUAAUAUAGCAAAAUAAUACAUUACAACUACAAUACAUGCACAUAUAAUGAUUAUCAAAGGUUUACAAGUGUAAGUCAAAUGCCAAGGAUUUGACUUCUAUACAGAACAAAUACAGUUAUUAUCGGUGUCACUUAGACUAGGAAUUUCACUCUUAUAGUUGUUGUGCCAUUUUCAUUGCCAAUGUUGCUAACCAAAAACAGCCCAAUUGCUCGAAUCACCUGCAAUUGUUACCAUGAAAAUGCAAUUAUUGUUAUGUUGCCAACACUGAAUCCCUACUGACCUUCCCUCCAAGAUCACCACCACCAAUGCCUUAACUGUAUCUACCAAAGACGCCUCUACCACAACCUUACUAUCACUACCAAUGCUUGCAACAUUGAUGCAUUUUACCAACCUCACCAUCAUUGCUUUUGUUGUCGCCACUAAAACGCCAUCUUUGUUAUAUAUCUCGCAAAUAAUUGAUAUAUGAAUAGGUUGUUCAUCAGUUUUACUAUCAAAAAGACACUUUUAUAUUCUACUAGCACAAUUUGAAAAAAUCGUAUGUCAAAACAAUCGGAGAAAAAACAAUUAAAUACAAAAUACUAAAUUUGUAGUUUGUCCUCUUAGUCUUAUAUAUUGGUUCAUUCUCUAUUUUUAAUCUUUAAGAUAUUAAACCUUUACAGUAACUUCAAUAGUUUUAAUAUUGACAAAAGUCAAAAAACUACGAUUGCAUUGAAGGGUCAGUUUAGAAUGAAGAUAACAGGCAUACUUGAUAGACCCAAGGUAAAUUCAGUUAAUAGACUCAAUUCACCAAAUAAAAUUAAGACAACCAGAAAAGAGGAAAAAAAGAGAUAUAUAUUUGUAUAGGUGAAUGACAAUAAGCCAAUUGGAUAGGAAGCCAUAACCUUCGAAAUCUCAGGUCCCCUGGCCCACCAAAAAAAAUAGCCAAAAAAUUCAUGUCACUUCAAGACAACAUAUAGGAGUUGUGUUCUCUGCUGAGUUUACAAUGUUGUAUCUUAUAGUAAAGAUCUUUAAAAACAAUGCAAUUUCCUUUUUAAAUAGAACUCGGGCUACGUAGCCAACCAUCAGACUAUUAAAAUCAAAUACUUUAGGUAGAAAAGGUUCCAAUGCAAACUCACAGUACAUAUAAACUUUGGCAAAGAAAGUAAUCUUUAUUUUUAGCAAAACAUUGAGUCGAACUAGUAUAAUAGACUAUAUUUUAGUACAGUUAAAUCCAUGAUUAAAAUAAAGAAAAAUUCUGACUAUUAUCUUUCUUGCAAACUUGCAAUACUCUUGAACAUAUCAAUAAUCACAACACUGUUAUGUGGCGUCGUCUCACGAACACAUAUAUACUUCUCCGAUUUCAUUGUAACAUUCCUAAACGUGAUAAAUUGUGGGUUGAUCCCUAUGCUUGGCAACUGUAACAACAUCACAAUUUUUAUUUAAAACACUGUACAACCACUAAGUCAAAAAAAAUUGCCCACCCAGAACACAUAAUUUAGAUGCCAUAUUCAUAAACUCGACUUUUGUAACUCCACAGAUAAACUACAUCUAUAUUACAGAUCUAAAUGUAAUUACACAUAACAAAUCUGUAAGUUCUUUUAGGGCAGAUAUUAACAUAUAGAAACACUUGUACUACAAUAAAUCGCACAGAUCAAAAGGUGAAAGAAAACAACAACAAAGAUUUGAAUUUCAGAUGAUUUCAAACUGUUUUCUAUCAGUUCAUUCAAAUAAUCAUGCAAAUUCAGCUAAAAUUAAAAAAAAAAUGAGUAUGACUCGGAAAGAAAUGCGAAAAGUAAUUUACCGUUAGGGUCUCCUUCAUGGUGAUCGGAGCGUUAGCGGCCACCAUGGUGGCGAGAUAAAAAAGUUGAGAUCAGGAGUCCAAUCUGUGAGUGGAUGUGAUGAUGAAUAACCAAUUGAGAUUCAACUCAAGUGGCUACGAGAUCUGACAAACCCUCGCACCUUAUUCGAGAGAGAUAGUGAGAGAUCUGGUGAGAGACUAUGAUGGUGGGUAUUUUUUUAAGUGAUA